UCAUCAGUUGUGGCCAAAAUCAGAUAGAGCAAGCGAGGGUUCACGCGCUACUCUUGCGCGUGGACGUCACCGCCCCAAAAUUGCAAUACUAUCCAUCAGGGAUUUUGGGCGAAAAUCCACAAUUCGUGGGAGCCGAAGAGAAUGUGCGCGUGGGCAAACUUCGUUCGUACCAGACAGUUAUUUUUAUGAGCGCCAGGAGCUUGACGCGCCACUUUGGCGCGUGGACGCCACGGACCCAAAAUUGCCAUACUAUAGUCCAGGAGAAUUUGGCUAAAAUCGCCAAAUCGACCAAUUAGGAAAGAAGGUGCGCGUGGGCAACACAUUUUCUACUUUAUAAGGAGUUAAUACCGAAAAUGGGAUUUCAUUCUUCCCCCUCUCUACUAAUCAAAGGCUUGGUCGCGAUCGACGAUGACUAUGAAAGCGAGCGGGACGGAAGAUCCAGAUCUACCUGAGCUGAGCUAUCUGGACGAGGGAAUGAUCGCAUUUAGUGUCCGGUGAAGAGCAGAGGGAUCGCGAUGAGAUCAGAGGUAAGGGAAUCCUCUCGGUGCGAAAUUUAAGGGAAAUUCCGACAAUCAGUAUCUGGGUUUUGGUAAAAUGUACUGAGAUUCGUGACAUGUUGAACACAAUGAAUGGGGAUUGAGGAAGAAACUCUCUGGAAUUCUGA